AUACUACUCCCUCUAUUUGGAAAUAGUUGUCGGAGAAGUGGAUAAAAAUGAAUGUAUCUAGAACUAUAAUACGUCUAGAUACAUUUAUUCCUCCUACAAGUAUUUCCGAACGGAAGGAGUAUAUC
rfam:Triticum aestivum genome assembly, contig: Triticum_aestivum_CS42_TGACv1_scaffold_515727_6BS